rnacentral:rRNA from 1 species
GACUCUUAACAGUGGAUCACUCGGCUCAUGCAGCUCAUGCAUCAAUGAAGAAUGCAGCUAGCUGGAGAAUUAAUGUGAAUUUCAGGACACGUUGAUCAUCAACACUUCAAACAAACUUACGGCCCCAGGUUCCUCCUGAGGCUAUGAUAAAAAAAAUAUUU